rnacentral:lncRNA from 1 species
UUUAUACUUCUUUAUACCCUACUUAUAUUGGAACUUGAGAUGAUCUUGGCGUGCGGGGUCACGUCUUUAUACACUUGGAUUCUUAUUUCGUGAGAUAAGUGGGGAAAUUAUACAGAUUUACUGGCUUUGGACGAUCUCCUUCCUCACCAUACGCGGGUCAUGUGAAUAGGUCUCCUCCUCACUUACUUUGUGUUUGUGAGUGGCAGUGAGGUAGCUUUCUCCUCCUCACGUGGGUGGUAGUCGAGGUGAUAUUCUCCUCCUCACACAAUCUAUGUGUGAAUGGAAGUUGAGGUUAUUAGUUCUCCUCCUUGCACAAUCUAUGUGUGAGUGGCAGUCGAGGGUAGGUUGAGCCUGAGGGGCUCCAUUCCCGUAUGGUGAACCCAUUUUCCCCAUAUUCUUUGUUGUUGUUCUUGACUAGCGGGGCUAGUCGGUCUUUUCUUAAUUAUUGCAUGCAUCGGGAGUUUUAUUGAGAUAAUUGUGGAAAAGUAUAAAACCCUUUUUCUUUCAAUUACUUAUUUUUGUCCACUCACGCUAACGUUUUGAUAUACUUUUCCCUGGGCCCUUCGGUUUCAAAUGCCCAGAUUGCAGUGUUGUUGCUCGGUGUACGAGUGUGAGCCAUAGUGACCGCACCUGCUUCCGCCAUCACCUUCUGUAGGUUACCUGGUUAACCUACUGUAUUCCUUGUCUAUUUAUAUUCCUAGAAUGCUCUGAUUACUAAGGGAUAUGUGACCCAACUUACAUGUAUUAUAUUCGAGUUUUGAGUUGGGUUGUUUAAAUUUGGGAGCAGGGUGGCUCCAGGAGUUGUGGUUGGAUUUUUUUUGAAGUGAAUUAUUAGCUUUCAACAGGAUUUU